rnacentral:rRNA from 1 species
AGCGAACGCUAGCGGCGGGCUUAACACAUGCAAGUCGAGCGCCCUUCGGGGAGCGGCGAACGGGUGAGUAACACGUAGGUUACCUGCCCUCUGGCGGGGGAUAACCCAGGGAAACUUGGGCUAAUACCGCGUAUGGUCUACGGAUCAAAGUCUUCGGACGCCAGAGGAGGGGCCUGCGGCCCAUUAUUUAAUCCUAGUUGGUGGGGUAACGGCCUACCAAGGGUACGAUGGGUAGCUGGUCUGAGAGGAUGAUCAGCCACACUGGGACUGAGACACGGCCCAG